AUCAGUGUAUUGCCCUGUAACGGGAUGGGAUUCGAAGCCUGCUGAAUAUUAUAUUCAAGUCCUAUUCCGACACGUCCACGUCGUGCAGGCUGGUAAGAAGGGCCUAAACCUAGCCUUUUGGGAAGGUGACGGCUAAUGGCUAAGAAGGAAGGG
rnacentral:ribozyme from 1 species